GCUACUGCUAUUGGAAUCCGAUUAAGCCAUGCGAGUCUAAAGGACUUCGGUCCUUGGCAGACGGCUCAGUAACACGUGGAGAACCUGCCCUCAGGAGGGGGAUAACCCCGGGAAACUGGGAAUAAUACCCCAUAGGUCUAGGAUGCUGGAAUGCUUCUAGGCUGAAAGCUCCGGCGCCUGAGGAUGGCUCUGCGGCUUAUCAGGUUGUAGUGAGGGUAACGUCCUCACUAGCCUAUGACGGGUACGGGCCCUGAGAGGGGAAGCCCGGAGAUGGACUCUGAGACACGAGUCCAGGCCCUACGGGGCGCAGCAGGCGCGAAACCUCCGCAAUGCGCGAAAGCGCGACGGGGGGACUCCAAGUGCCUACGCUCAGCGUAGGCUGUUCCCGAGCCUAAAAAGCUCGGGGAGUAAGGGCUGGGUAAGACGGGUGCCAUCUGUAACGGUAGUCAGAGAUUUGACUUGCCGUUGCAAGGCAUAAGCCGCCGCGGUAAUACCCGCAGCCCGAGUGGUGGCCGCUAUUAUUGGGCCUAAAGCGUCCGUAGCCGGCCCGGUAAAUGCCUGGGUAAAUCGUCUGGCCCAACCAGACGAAUUCCGGGUAGACUGCCGGGCUAGGGACCGGAGGAGGGAGAGGGUACUCCAGGGGUAGGGGUGAAAUCCUGUAAUCCCUGGAGGACCACCGGUGGCGAAGGCGCUCUCCUAGGACGGGUCCGACGGUGAGGGACGAAAGCCAGGGGAGCAAACCGGAUUAGAUACCCGGGUAGUCCUGGCCGUAAACGAUGUGGGCUUGGUAUUGGAAAUCCCAUGAGGGUUUCCAGUGCCGUAGGGAAGCCGUUAAGCCCACCGCCUGGGGAGUACGGUCGCAAGGCUGAAACUUAAAGGAAUUGGCGGGGGAGCACUGCAACGGGAGGAGCGUGCGGUU
rnacentral:rRNA from 1 species